UGAUAGAGACGUUGAACCUAGAGUCAAUUGGACCUAGGGUGAAAAGGACAUUGGACCUAGAUAGGUCAAUACUAUAGGGUUUGAAACCAACCCUUAAGCUAUAUGAAGUGGAUUCCGGAAUCCCUAGUGAUGUGGCCGCACAUGGAGCGGUGGAAAUUGUGGUAAAAGAGAUGGCAAGCGAAUCCUAACUGCAGGUAUGUGUGGUUCUCCUCGCCUGGCAGUGAUUCAACGGGUAUGUGUGGUUCUCCUCGCCCGGGAUGCCAUGAGAAUAAGCUGGAAUUGGGUAUGUGUGGUUCUCCUCGCCCA
rnacentral:lncRNA from 1 species